rnacentral:rRNA from 1 species
UUAACAAUGGAUCUCUAGGCUCUCACAUUGAUGAAGAACACAGUGAAAUGUGAUAAGUAAUGUGAAUCGCAGAAUUCAGUGAAUCAUCAAAUCUUUGAACGCACCUUGCACCUUUUGGUAUUCCAAAAGGUACACCUGUUUGAGUGCCCUU